rnacentral:rRNA from 1 species
CACGUAGGGUGCAAGCGUUGUCCGGAAUUAUUGGGCGUAAAGGGCUCGUAGGCGGUCCGUCACGUCGGGAGUGAAAACUGGAGGCUCAACCUUCAGAGGUCGACCGAAACCAUCUGGCUAGAGUCCGGGAGAGGAGAGUGGAAUUCCUGGUGUAGCGGUGAAAUGCGCAGAUAUCAGGAAGAACACCCGUGGCGAAAGCGGCUCUCUGGAACGGUACUGACGCUGAGACGCGAAAGCGUGGGGGAGCGAACAGG